rnacentral:rRNA from 1 species
UUAAAGUGGUACGCGAGCUGGGUUUAGAACGUCGUGAGACAGUUCGGUCCCUAUCUGCCGUGGGCGCUGGAGAACUGAGGGGGGCUGCUCCUAGUACGAGAGGACCGGAGUGGACGCAUCACUGGUGUUCGGGUUGUCAUGCCAAUGGCACUGCCCGGUAGCUAAAUGCGGAAGAGAUAAGUGCUGAAAGCAUCUAAGCACGAAACUUGCCCCGAGAUGAGUUCUCCCUGACUCCUUGAGAGUCCUGAAGGAACGUUGAAGACGACGACGUUGAUAGGCCGGGUGUGUAAGCGCAGCGAUGCGUUGAGCUAACCGGUACUAAUGAACCGUGAGGCUUAACCUUACAACGCCGAAG